GACGACCGCUGGCGGCGUGCUUAACACAUGCAAGUCGAACGAGAAAGGGACCUUCGGGUUCUGAGUAGAGUGGCGCACGGGUGAGUAACACGUGGAUAAUCUGCCUGAUGGACAGGGAUAACACCCCGAAAGGGGUGCUAAUACCGGAUAAGCCCACAGCAUCUACGGAUGCAGCGGGAAAAGGGGGCCUCUUCAUGAAAGCUUCCGUCAUCAGAUGAGUCCGCGGUCCAUUAGCUAGUUGGUAGGGUAAAGGCCUACCAAGGCGACGAUGGAUAGCUGGUUUGAGAGAAUGAUCAGCCACACUGGAACUGAGACACGGUCCAGACUCCUACGGGAGGCAGCAGUGGGGAAUCUUGCGCAAUGGGGGCAACCCUGACGCAGCAACGCCGCGUGAGUGAUGAAGGUUUUCNGACNCGUAAAGCUCUGUCAGGAGGGAAGAAACCCCGAACGGUUAAUACCCGAUCGGAUUGACGGUACCUCCAAAGGAAGCACCGGCUAACUCCGUGCCAGCAGCCGCGGUAAUACGGAGGGUGCGAGCGUUGUUCGGAAUUAUUGGGCGUAAAGCGCGUGCAGGCGGUUUGUUAAGUCUGAUGUGAAAGCCCCGGGCUCACCUGGGAAGUGCAUUGGAAACUGGCUGAUUGAGUAC
rnacentral:rRNA from 1 species